UACGUAGGGGGCAAGCGUUGUCCGGAAUUAUUGGGCGUAAAGAGCGCGUAGGCGGUCCGAUAAGUCGGCUGUGAAAGUCAAGGGCUCAACCCUUGGAAGCCGGCCGAUACUGUCGGACUAGAGUCCGGAAGAGGCGAGUGGAAUUCCCGGUGUAGCGGUGAAAUGCGCAGAUAUCGGGAGGAACACCAAUUGCGAAGGCAGCUCGCUGGGACGGUACUGACGCUGAGGAGCGAAAGCGUGGGGAGCGAACGAGG
rnacentral:rRNA from 1 species